UAAAAAGUUCUUUAAACAUAAAGG
rnacentral:tRNA from 1 species